rnacentral:lncRNA from 1 species
ACAAGUCAAUCAGCCAUCACGAAGUGCUGCUGUCAGCAAGGUCUCCAUGGCGUGUGGGAGGACACAAAGGAGAGGCAUCUAAAUUAAGCUGGAGUCAAGAAUGACCAUAAUGAGGCUCCUGGGACCAACCAUAGGUUAAAGAAAAACCAUCUGGUGCUAAGAAUCCAAAGGCAGCGGGAAAUCCUCAACAGGAACUGGAGAGGUUGGAGAAAUAAUAGAGCAGAAGCCACCUGGAAGCAGGGGCCCAAACAACAGGGCAGGUUGUUAGCUGCAUUGCACAUAGAAGGGUAGAAGAGGAAGAAUGAUUUUACUUCUUGACAAAGAAGAAGAAGGAAAGACGUCUGCAGGGUAAGCAUGUCUGGGAGUCCCUGCCACCUGCUGCUAUUCAUUUAAUCAUCCCUGGGAGCCGGACUGCAGGCCCUGUGCCAGGCUGUCAGCAGCAGAAACUGGCAAGGAGAGAGCUCACUCAGCAGCUAUUAGAUACCAGGGCCUGCCCACCAGUUACAGUGUGAACUGGGGACUGGAGGAACAGGAAGCAAUGGCUGAUCUCAGCAGUCAGCAGGAGGAAAAGUAAGGCAGAACUGAAAUGUAUGAUGUGUUUACUUUGUUAUCAGCACUGUGUCAUGCUAAGUACCUUUGAAAUGUCUCUUCUUCUCAUUCCUCGAAAUAGUCCUACUAAGUAG